rnacentral:rRNA from 1 species
GGGGAAUUUUCCGCAAUGGGCGNAAGCCUGACGGAGCAAUACCGCGUGUAGGGNUGACGGCCUAUGGGUUGUAAACCUCUUUUUUCAGGGAGGAAACCAAUGACGUUACCUGAAGAAUAAGCAUCGGCUAACUCCGUGCCAGCAGCCGCGGUAAGACGGAGGAUGCAAGUGUUAUCCGGAAUCACUGGGCGUAAAGCGUCUGUAGGUGGUUUAAUAAGUCAACUGUUAAAUCUUGAGGCUCAACCUCAAAACCGCAGUCGAAACUAUUAGACUCGAGUAUAGUAGGGGUAAAGGGAAUUUCCAGUGGAGCGGUG